GAUGAAGAACGUAGUGAAAUGCGAUAAGUAAUGUGAAUUCCAGAAUUCAGUGAAUCAUCGAAUCUUUGAACGCACAUUGCGCCCCUUGGUAUUCCGAGGGGCAUGCCUGUUCGAGCGUCAUUAUAACCCCUCAAGCUCAGCUUGGUGUUGGGGCCUGCUGCACUGGCAGCCCUUAAAAUCAGUGGCGGCGCCAUCUGGCUCUAAGCGUAGUAAUUCUUCUCGCUAUGGAGUCCUGGUGGAUGCUUGCCAUCAACCCCCAAUUUUUCUAUGGUUGACCUCGGAUCAGGUAGGGAUACCCGCUGAACUUAAGCAUAUCAAUAAGCGGAGGA
rnacentral:misc_RNA from 1 species